rnacentral:rRNA from 1 species
GACAGAGGGUGCAACCGUUGUUCGGAAUUACUGGGCGUAAAGCGAGUGUAGGCGGUCUGAAAAGUCAGGUGUGAAAGCCCUGGGCUCAACCCAGGAAGUGCACUUGAAACUGCCAGGCUAGAGUAUCGGAGAGGUUGGUGGAAUUCUCGGUGUAGAGGUGAAAUUCGUAGAUAUCGAGAGGAACACCGGUGGCGAAGGCGGCCAACUGGACGAAUACUGACGCUGAGACUCGAAAGCGUGGGGAGCAAACAGG